rnacentral:lncRNA from 1 species
AAUGAAUCUGGGUUAGAGAGAGAGUGAAGGACCUUGUAAUUAGAGAAAGAUAGAAUAACUUAGAAUUAUUUUAUUAAUUGGAAUAAUGUUUUUAUUUUAUUAUUUAAAUAAAAUAAAAAGAUAAAAAGAAAAUAGAAGUGGUAGAGAUAUUGAGAGCAAGGUGGGGAUUUGAGAGAAAAGUAAGGAUAAAAUAUGAAUAGUCU